UACCGGUUCCGGAUCAUCAAAGUGGGAUCUUCCUUCGAGACAGUGGCUUGCGGUGACCUCCAUACUUCUGAUUGCCGGAGCAGCCGGAGUAGCCGUCCCACUCGCGCUCAAGGUUUCGUCCGGUGCGCCCCUCGAGGAGCGGAUGCAGGUCGCUACCCAGCUGCUCGACACAGUGCCUUUAAUCGAUGGUCACAACGAUCUACCGUGGAACAUACGGAAAUUCCUUCACAAUCAGCUAAACGAUUUUCGCUCAACUCCGUGGAAGAGACUUUCCUUCGUGUGCAUACGUGUCCUGGUUGAACUGAGGUUGAACGAUGUUGUCCUAGAAUCCAAGAUUUCUGUCAGUUAUCUAGAUUUGCAAACAACUAAAGCUCAGGACUUUUGUCCUGCUCAUUUCUAUCUGUUUGUUAUAUGGCCCAGUUUUCCAUUCGUUCACUCUCAAUCGAUUUUCUUGCAAAGUUUUAUUACUAUCUUUUUAUCUCUUGGAACGCUUCACCGUGUCUUCAAAUUACACGUAAAAUGGAGCAAAGAUUCAAAUUGCAAUCUUCAUAAAACCUUUAUCAUAAGUUACUGUAGCAUAAUCCUAUUCUCUCUAACAAGUUUGCUAUUUUUUUAUGGCGUACUCAUUUUUUUUUCUCCAUUACUAUUGACUUCAGUACCUAGCGUUCGUAUUUCUUGUACCGAAUUUAUAGAAGCAAUAACUUAUCACACCCCAGCCAUCGCCGACCGUAAAAGGAGAGAAAAUGUUAAACCCAUUAACACGACCCUGUACGCGAAGGGCACACUGUUGAUUGAAAAAUAAUGUAAAUUAAUCUCUCUCGCCCGCGCUAAGAAGCUUAUCAGAAGCACGGCUGCUCGGGCCAACGCCCAGAGCCCGCCCGCCCAGAGCCCGACAAAAGGUGCAAGAAUGGCGAAGAAAGAUAAAAAUCAAAGUGAAAAAAGGGCAGCUGUUGUAAACGAAAUUGGAAAAAUACGCUCCUGUGCGUUGCCCUACCAUUUUUUUUGCAAUGGGUUAAAGCAAUGCAAAUUACCUUGCUCCGCAUCAGCGCCAAACCGCUCGACCGAUCAGCCGGAAGUGCCCGGCACACCGCUGCUCCGGUUGAUGAGAAGCAGUUUUAUUGAACUUCUUCGACCGCCUUUUUUACCGCUUUCUUGCUGAUGGCUUUGGUGGAACCAGAGAGUGGAAGGUGCGCGCACAGCUUUCGAAUCACUUUCUACUUCAACGCUUCAUAGCGCCAUGGCACGCGGGGCAGCACCCGCGGAGGGUGGCGGAUGGAUCCGUCGGUUUCAAUGUUUCAAAGCGAGGCAAUAUUAAUUUACUCUCCAUCGAUUCGUUAAAAGAAUUUCCCAUCCUCCCCCAAUCAUUGUGAAAUUCCCGUACCGUGGAACGUGCCGAAGGCUGUGCGUACCAGGAUUGCAUUCAAUUAAUUGGAUAACGUUAACCUUUUUGCCUGGGAAAUGAGAUAGCAGAUCCGGUGACCAAGGGGGCCUUCGCUGGAAUUUGUAAAAGAACAAACAAAAUUGCUGUCCCCUUUUUCGGACCUUCGUGCUCGAGCGAUAAAAUAUACAAUUUAUGUACCGAUUACCGAGUUGCAGGUAGCGCGUUAGAGGUAGAGCUUUUAUUAAAAGUAAUACAAUAAUGAGAAAUCUGAUCUUCAUUGCCCCUAUGACGGAACCUACAGUUUAUCUCCAUUAGUUUUGCUACCAUGCCACAGGCUGUGCUACAAUAGACAUUGGACAUCAAUCAAUCCCGAUUACUUUCAUUUACGGCUAAAUGUGCUAAUCAAGUACCUGUUUCUAAUCCACCUAAUGCACCGACUACGAGACAAACAAUAAGAUGGCCAUUGGUCUGAACGAAACGAUUAUCGCAUCAGGACGCAAUAGCGUCGUCGUAGUCGCAUGAUAACGAAUUAAUUGAUGUUAAGUGCUGGACAACAAUGCCCGAGAGCGAUAAAAGGAUUUAAUGGACGUUUCCAUUGCGACUGCUGAUCGCUGAUGUAAAGCUAAUCGAAUGGUAAGUGCCGUUUAUUUAGCUUAGGAUGGAGACUUUAUUUGCUUCAUUAGUAAGUUCUUAAAAUGCCACUUCGUUAGGAGCGAUGCAAUAUAAGAGUUUGACCUUCGUUUAAGCUUUUCGAUGUUGUCCGGUUCUUUGAGCACAUUUCGUUUAACAAGAUGUAAAGCAUCAAAACACGGCAUGUAAUGGCAUUGAAGUCAUUUACAA